UACGAAGGGGGCUAGCGUUGCUCGGAAUCACUGGGCGUAAAGCGCACGUAGGCGGAUCCUUAAGUCGGGGGUGAAAUCCUGGAGCUCAACUCCAGAACUGCCUUCGAUACUGAGGAUCUCGAGUCCGGGAGAGGUGAGUGGAACUGCGAGUGUAGAGGUGAAAUUCGUAGAUAUUCGCAAGAACACCAGUGGCGAAGGCGGCUCACUGGUCCGGUACUGACGCUGAGGUGCGAAAGCGUGGGGAGCAAACAGG
rnacentral:rRNA from 1 species